UACGUAGGGUGCGAGCGUUGUCCGGAAUUAUUGGGCGUAAAGGGGCUCGUAGGCGGUUUGUCGCGUCGGGAGUGAAAUCCACUGGCUUAACUGGUGGCUUGCUUUCGAUACGGGCAGACUGGAGGUAUGCAGGGGAGAACGGAAUUCCUGGUGUAGCGGUGAAAUGCGCAGAUAUCAGGAGGAACACCGGUGGCGAAGGCGGGUCACUGGGCCGAUGACUGACG
rnacentral:rRNA from 1 species